rnacentral:rRNA from 1 species
CAGUAGCCACGGUAAUACGGAGGGUGCAAGCGUUAAUCGGAAUUACUGGGCGUAAAGCGUGCGUAGGCGGUUCGUUAAGUCUGUUGUGAAAGCCCCGGGCUCAACCUGGGAAUGGCAAUGGAUACUGGCGAGCUAGAGUGUGUCAGAGGAUGGUGGAAUUCCCGGUGUAGCGGUGAAAUGCGUAGAGAUCGGGAGGAACAUCAGUGGCGAAGGCGGCCAUCUGGGACAACACUGACGCUGAGGCACGAAAGCGUGGGGAGCAAACAGGAUUAGAUACCCCGGUAGUCCCUGUCUCUUAUAC